rnacentral:lncRNA from 1 species
UUGGUUCGAAAGCUGGGGGUUUUCACCUAAUAGCAUUACCACUUGAAUGGCUGAUUUCCAAAGGUCUAGUCUUUCUGAUAGGGACAUUGAUCAGGUACUUAUUAUUUUGCUUCCAUUUUUCUUAUUUGCCAAACUAUUAUAGAGUAGUGGAAGGGGAAUCUUCGGGGCCGUUUGAUUUGCAAAUAAUCUCGAAAUAAAAUAAUAAUCUCGGGAUAAAACUUUUUAUUCGUCGUUUGGUUGUAAAUAUUUGGGAUAAUUUAUCCCGAAAUUUAUUAUUAGUCCCGGAAUAAUUUAUCUUCCCAAUUGAUGGGAUAACAAUCCCAAUAUUAUUCUUACAUGGGAUAAAAUCAUAAAAUGACAAUGUUACCCUUAAAUUCUUUGAUUUUUCACUUCCAUAAACAUAGUUUGAGUGUUAAAAUUUGAGUGCAUAAUUUAAAAUUUUUACUAAAAAUAUUUCUAUGAAACAACUAUAAUUUGAGUGCAUAAGCUAACACAAUUAAAUUUAUUAUAAUUUAUUAUUCGUACUAUAAUUUGAAUGCAUAAUUUAGUCUAUUUUCGUAAUUAAAUAUUUUAGAAAGUAUAAAGUCAUUUACCGUUUAAAAUGAUUAUAAAAUAUAUAAAUUAUGUUUAUUUAUAUAUUUUAAUUUCUCUAAAAAAAGUUUAAAAAUGAAUAUUUAAAGUGUAAAAAGAAAUAUAUAUAAAAAAAAAGUUAAAUAAGAUGGAGGGUAUUUUGGUAAUCAAUCAAUUUAUUCCUAGAAAUUCUACCAUGCAUAUUACUUUAAAUACAACAAAUCAAACACUUAAUAAAAAAUAAUCCCAACAUAACUAAUCCCAGUAUAACUUAUCCCAUCAUAACUUAUCCCAAUAUAACUAAUCCCGGUAUAAUUUGCUUUCAAACCAAAUGACCCCUUAGUGUAAUUGGUAAAAUUGUUUCUAUGUGAUCAAAAGGUCACGAGUUCUUCAUGUGUGUAAUUUUAAACUCUGUUAGUGAAAAACUUGGCUUUGUUAUGGCUGACACGGGUAUGGCAACAUUUUUAGAGGUUCCAAGCAACAUACAUAUAUAUAUAUAUAUAAAGUACAUUAUGAGGUUCUAGAUUUAAGAAAUGUACAAUGAAUGCAUUAUUACCCCGCAUGUAGAUAUUAAGCUUAAACUUUUCUGCUUAUUAUAUAUUUUCUUGGCUUUGAAGGCCAUUGCAGCACUUAAGAAAGGAGCAAAACUGCUAAAGUAUGGGCGCAGGGGAAAACCAAAGUUCUGUCCCAGAGUACCUUCGUGGAUGCUGCCACUGAAUGUUCAUAGUGUAUUUCAAUAUUAACUAUUUCAAGUCUUCCUUGUAUGCCAGAUUUUUUUAACAUUCUUAAUUGACUUAGAAUUAAUAACUGUGAAACUAAAGAUCAUGUCUACUUAGAAAAUAUGUUGUGGACUAUUUUGUCACUGAAGUAUUGAGACAAGAGUAAGUAGCAAAAGGAAUAAUACACAUUGACUAUGUGACAAAGAGGAAAGAGAAAAGAAAGUGGG